GUAGCACAUGCAGUCGACGCUGAAGCCCCAGCUUGCUGGGGUGGAUGAGUGGCGAACGGGUGAGUAACACGUGAGUAACCUGCCCCUGACUUCGGGAUAAGCCCGGGAAACUGGGUCUAAUACCGGAUAUGACCUGUCCUCGCAUGAGGGUGGGUGGAAAGUUUUUUCCGGUGG
rnacentral:rRNA from 1 species